CACAACUCAGUUUCCACAUCUAUAAAUUGGACCUAAUCAAAGAACCUCCCCAACUGGUAUUAUUGUAAAAUUUACCUAACAAUUGCCUAGUGUAGAGUAGACAUCACGGUACUCCAAUAUAUAUUUGUAUCUUGCCUACAUAGAUUUAUGUGUACACACACAUAUUUUCAUUCUCUUCUUUUCUCCUACACUUAGAGUAACUUGGUAAUUCUGUUAUUUUUUCAAUUCAGAAAUUCAGGUUGCCUGUUCCACUUGUGAGAAAAAUCAAUCUCAAGCUUAGCUGGACAGACAGGCGGGGUUAAUCAGUAUUCCUUUUCUUUAUUUUCUUCCUCCUUAUACUCUCCUGGGCCCUCCCCCAUUUUGUCCCAGUUUCCAUGUUGCCCAACAAGAGGGAGACACCAUCACUGUCUCAGCUCAAGGACUGCCUCUCUCUCCUAGGAGAAAGCAGACUUUUGGGUCAGCUGCCAGCAUCCGCCUCAAAAGUCGAGGACAACUGCCCACUCUAUGCCCUGGUGAUCACGUCCUGCCAACUGGUGGCAGAUGGCGUCUUCCUUGUCUUCCAUGACCAGUCUGUUCCACUCCACCCGCCUUUUCCACUCCCUCCCCCACUUUGGCAAACAGAACAUAGACUUUUAAACGUGGUCAUUUUUUCCAUCAUCCCCUUCAAUGGAAAAGUGUUUUUAAAGCGCAGAUUUUUUUAUUUGGUUUUGGUCUUUGAAUUACAUAAUCACACCACGUGGAGUUGUCUCUGCCGCCAUUGUAACAUUCAACUACCACAUAAAACAUGAAGGAAAAGCACCAGGGCCUGAAAAAGUAGUUAUCUCCUUGGGACACUUCUUUCUUAUCCUACAUUCAUGAAAUAGUGCUGUAAUUUUGUAAAACUAGGCUCCAAAAUGUAACCAGACAUGAAACGAAUUGUUUCCCUCUCAACUUUUAGUCAGUUUCAGUAAUAUUGCCUUUCCUCCGAUUGCAAGGGGAAAAAAUAGUCCACAUCUGGGUAACUGAGGCAGUUCUUUGCCACAAUGCUGGCAACCACCUACCAGCUAUUUGGCAUUAGCCAUGCUCAUGCCUAAUUGAACCAAAUGUAAUCUCUCUCUCUCUCUCUCUAUAUAUAUAUAUAUAUUUCAAAGUCAUACUCAAGGAGCAAGGAGUUUGACACAUUUAAUGACAUCACUUUCAAACUAUUUGCAUUCAGAGUUAUUUCUGGAAAUGAAAACAAAAACCUGUGAAUUUUCUAAACUCUCCCCUUUCUUUAUUUAAUAAGAUGUCAUCAUAGACCUUUUCUAAGAGGUCCCCAUUUUUUUAUAGGACACAAAUAUCCAUCUGUCUUAUGUUGAAGGGACAAAAAUCUCCUAUCUUCUCAGCUUGUCUUCUCAGCUUCUUCUGAAGGAAUAGCAAAAUAGUUAUGUGAAAGGUACCCUGGUUCUUCCAUUUUAGGAGAUGGUGACCUUGGGCAAGUGAUUCACCUCGAAGCUUAGCUUUUCUAGAGCAGCUCAUGUGUUUUAUUGGAA